GGAGAAUUGUCCGAGUGGUUCAAGGUAACGGUCUUGAAAACCGUCGGGCGGGAAACCGCUCCUAGAGUUCGAAUCUCUAAUUCUCUG
rfam:Dictyostelium discoideum AX4 chrTn_00022 genomic scaffold, whole genome shotgun sequence.